UCUGCAAAAAAGAAAUUCGAAAGCCAUAAAUACAAUAAUGGUCAAGAGACAGUAACAUUUCAGACAACCUUAACAAAAAGCCCAAAUCAAUUCAGACCUCCAUGGCAGCUACCUUCGUAUUUGUCCGCACGCCAUUCUUUCUUUCGUUUUGUAAUAUUGCAAGAAUUGGGACUUCUGCCAUUCCUAAAUUCGAAGCUUUUUUUCCUUCAUUUAUUACUAUUUUAUUAUAUUGUCUUUGUUGUUGUUACAGGAUGAGUUAUUACAUACACUUAGUUUGUAUCUAUCUAUACAUCCCUCUCUCUCCUCUAUAUAUAUAUAAAAUAACUGAGUCGUUCUUUUCUCUCUCAUAGAGAAGAGUCGCAGAGAAGGUGGAUUGGCGCAGAGAUCCCUAACUUCGUUUAACAAUUUCAAUCGGACGUCGGCAAUCGAUUCCGCCGUCGGAAUUCGAUUUCGCAGCCGGAGAUUCGUCUGCGCGGCGGCGAUUUUGAUGGCGGAGAGCUUCGGAAAUCGCAAUUAGGGUUUAGGGUUAAGCAAAUUGGGGGAAAUUGGGGAAGAUGAUAAUCAAGCGCAACUUGAAAUCGGUAAUGCCGAUUCUGAAACGGUCGCGCGCCAGAGACUCUACCGGCGGCGACGACGACGAGUCCUCGUCGGCGGCGAAGCGGAAGAAACGGAAAAUCGCGAACGGUUACUACCCAAUCCAUCUCCUCGGAAAAGCCGCCGCCGGUCUAAUUCCAUACAAUAGCUACGGAAUUAAGAAGCUCCUCUCAAUCUCCGCCGCCGGAGAAAUUGAGCGCGGCGGCGAGGCGUCGGAGUCGAGGUCGAAGCCUGAGGAGGCGGCGAAGGAAGUACCGCGGCCGCCGCUGGUCAGAACUUCGCGGGGAAGAGUUCAGGUACUGCCGUCGCGAUUCAAUGAUUCGAUUCUCGAUAAUUGGAAGAAAGAGAAGAGCGUAAUGAAAAAUCCAGAGAAGGAUAAGGACUCCGACAUGGACGCAGAGUACAUUCCGAUUAAGGUCAAGGACAAGAAAGCACAGAGAAUUAGGAAAAGGAAUUCGGACAAGACGACUAAGUUCUCGCCAUUGUCGGAGGAUGAAAUAGCAGAGCUUAGGGAAGGGUUGAGGAGCUGCGACAGCAAGAAGAAGCACAAAGCUUCUCGAAACUUCGACGACAUCGACGGCGAUGAGCUCGACGACCACAUUCGAAUCCUCGGGGUCGAUAGACUGUACAGCUGCAAUGAUUUCGGAGAAGGCGAUGUAGUGUGGGCUAUAUCGGCGAGGAAUUGUCCGGCGUGGCCAGCGAUCGUGCUUAACCAAGACUCGCAAGUUCCAUUACAGGUUUACAAUUUCAGAGUCGCCGGAACUGUCUGUGUAAUGUUCUUUGGUUACUCCGGCAACGGCACUCAGAGGGAUUAUGCGUGGAUUAGAACCGGGAUGAUCUUCCCUUUCGUCGAUUAUGUAGACAGGUUUCAGGGACAGACGGAAUUGAAGGACAGUGAGCCCGGUGUUCUUCGGUCGGCGAUAGAGGAAGCAUUUUUAGCCGAAAAUGGCUUCAACGAAAUGUUGAUGGUUGAAAUAAAUGCGGCUGCUGGUAACUUGGAAUAUCUCCGUUCGUUUACGCGAGGUGUUCUUGAAGAUUCUGAUGCAAAUCAAGAUCAAUGUAGCAAUUUUGUAGAACAGGAUAUACACGUGACGGAAGGACUACAAACGUGCGAAGCCUGCGGGCAGAGUAUCGAGCCUAAUUGGUCGAGGAAAAUGAAUAAUUCAGCUGCACGUACCAAUCGUUUGUGCUCGGCUUGCGCCAGGCUGAAAAAAAUUAAACACUUUUGCGGCAUUUGUAAAAAGAUUAGGAAUCAAUCAGACAAUGGAACUUGGGUGCGGUGUAAUGGCUGCAAAGUUUGGGUCCAUGCCGAAUGUGACAAAUUUUCUAAAAUCAAGAUCAAGGAUUUGGGAACGGAGGACUAUUACUGCCCCGAGUGCAAAGCUAGGUUUAAUUUCGAAUUAUCCGAUUCAGAAACUUUCCCGGUUAAAGCGAAAAAUUGCAAAAUGAACGGAAAAUUUGUGUUGCCGGAUAAGGUCUCCGUCGUUUGCUCUGGUGUGGAGGGAAUUUACAUCCCGAGUCUUCAUUUAGUUAUUUGUAAAUGCGGAUCGUGUGGAAUGGAAAAGCAAGCCCUUAGUGAAUGGGAGCGGCACACGGGCUCCCGAACGAAAAACUGGAAAACGAGCGUCAGGGUGAAAGGUUCCUUAAUGUCUCUCGAACAAUGGAUGCUGCAGAUGGCAGAGCAUCACGAACGGAGUCUUGUUCCAGUGAAAUCCGUCAAACGUCGCUCUCUCAAAGAACGGAAACAGAAAUUGCUUAAUUUCCUUCAAGAACAAUAUGAGCCGGUUUACGCCAAGUGGACGACGGAGAGAUGUGCGGUAUGUCGCUGGGUCGAAGAUUGGGACUUCAACAAAAUUAUUAUUUGCAUUAGAUGUCAAAUUGCCGUUCAUCAAGAAUGCUACGGUGCAAGAAAUGUUCGCGAUUUCACUUCGUGGGUUUGUAGGGCGUGCGAAACGCCCGACAUUGAACGGGAGUGUUGCCUAUGUCCUGUCAAAGGGGGCGCUUUGAAGCCUACGAACGUUGCGCCGUUAUGGGUUCAUGUUACGUGUGCUUGGUUUCAACCCGAAGUUUCUUUUGCGAGUGACGAAAAGAUGGAACCGGCGCUCGGAAUAUUGAGAAUCCCAUCUAGCUCGUUUGUAAAGAUUUGUGUGGUGUGCAAACAAAUUCAUGGUUCCUGCACACAAUGCUGCAAGUGUUCGACAUAUUAUCACGCAAUGUGCGCGUCGAGAGCCGGAUACCGUAUGGAGUUGCAUUGCCUGGAAAAGAACGGGAAACAAAUUACGAAAAUGGUUUCGUACUGCGCCUAUCACCGGGCCCCAAAUCCGGACACGGUUCUGAUCAUGGAGACGCCGAAGGGGACUAUCUUGGCUAAAAGCCUUAUCCAAAGCAAACGCCACACGGGCGCGAGGCUAAUCUCGACUAACCGGUUGAAGCUCGAGGAACCGCCUGUCGAUGCAGAUGAAGUCGAUCCGUUCUCCGCUGCUAGAUGCCGUCCCUUCAAAAGAACGAAACAGAUUGGAAAAGAAGCCGUCGUGCACCAGAUCAUGGGACCUCGGCAUCAUUCCAUGGGCAGAAUACAAAGCUUGAAUAUAAAUCGGAAGUUAGAAAAGCCGAAGGACUUCUCCACGUUUAGAGAACGGCUUCAUCAUUUGCAGAGAACCGAAAAGGACAAAGUCUGCUUUGGCAGAUCUGCAAUACACGGAUGGGGCCUGUUCGCCCGGCGAAACAUCCUGGAAGGAGAAAUGGUUGUUGAGUACCGUGGCGAGCAGGUUAGGCGCAGUGUUGCGGAUCUUAGAGAGGUGCGCUAUCGAUUGGAGGGGAAAGAUUGCUACCUAUUCAAAAUCAGCGAGGAAGUUGUUGUAGAUGCUACAGAUGCUGGAAACAUUGCUCGGCUGAUCAACCAUUCCUGUAUGCCCAACUGCUAUGCGAGGAUCAUGAGCGUAGGUGACGAUGAAAGUCGGAUCGUACUCAUCGCCAAGACUAAUGUGCCUGCCGGGGAUGAACUAACGUACGACUAUUUGUUCGAUCCGGAUGAGCCAGAUGAAUUCAAAGUACCCUGUCUAUGUAAAGCUCCGACCUGUCGAAAAUUCAUGAACUAGACGAGGGAGCGCGGCUACGAUCCCACGAGAUGUCGAGAACAUAUGUUUCUUCAACAAAGGAAUAGAUUCUUCAUUGUGAGUUCUAACACAGUUAGGUCACACUGACUUAGGACACUGUAAGUCAUUCACUAGGGAAGGAAGAAGAUGGUUGUUAUUCAUUAGGAAAGGAAUAUAUACAUAUAUAUAUAUGUUCUUCCCCUUUGCCUCUUCGUUGGCCUCAUCAUCUAUCACCACGAUAUUUAUAGUGGCAGAAAGUAACAGACAGUAUAGAGUUUCAGGCAUUCUGUAUAAAUCAAACAUACAGACGAAGUUUCUGAUUCGAAAAUGUCUUUGUAAACAAACACCAGUAAAAUUAACAGUAACGAUGGUGAUGGUGGCAUAGUGUCAACAAUUUCGCAGUUCAUCGUCAAGAGUACCAAAAGUUCCAGUAAAUCAAAAAUUACCUCGCCGUAGUUCAGGUCAUCCUCUGAUCGCCGGAGAAGCCUUCAUCCGCCGCCGCCGUCACUCAAUUAAGCCUUGCCUUCUCGGCUAGUAACUUCCAUCCAUUAAGAUCCACAACCUUCUCCAUUCAAAAAUCAGAUUCAGAUUGAAUUCUAUGUAUCUUCCGAUCGGAAGGAAUCUUCAGCAGAUUUUGCUACGCACAGUUUAAUUCUGCAUCUCUUAAAAUUUCGACAACUCGUUCUAUAAUUUAAGGGUGAAAAGUAAAACACAGUAAAGCAUCAAAUUUAUCUUUGGGGGGAAUUAGCCUACAGUUAAGGCGCGUACGGUGCGUGCAGUUUGAAUAGAGGUUCAAGUAGCUAUAAAAGGACAAAAAAGAUAUUUCACAAAUGGCGGACGCAUUCUUGCGAGCGACUCAUGUCACAACGCUCCAGCCUCUUACUUGCACGCAAUAUUCACGUUCUUCGUCGCUAUUAAUUCCACUCUUCUUCUAUGGUGAUUAAUCCAGCCUCUCGUCGUCCUCUCCGUUCCG